rnacentral:rRNA from 1 species
UACGGGGGGGGCAAGCGUUGUUCGGAAUUACUGGGCGUAAAGGGUCUGUAGGUGGCCAAUUAAGUCAGACGUGAAAUCCCUCAGCUUAACUGGGGAACUGCGUCUGAGACUGGAUGGCUCGAGUGCAGGAGAGGAAUGCGGAAUUCCAGGUGUAGCGGUGAAAUGCGUAGAUAUCUGGAGGAACACCUGCGGUGUAGACGGCUUACUGGACCGUAACUGACGCUGAGGCACGAAAGCGUGGGGAGCAAACAGG